CUAAAGCCCGGCGCACACUAGAGCUAUGUGCUUAGCAAAAUGUCAUUCGUGACUGUUGGCGUAAGGAGAUAGCUCUCGUGUGCGGGCGAUUUACGAACGACUUUUGUCAUUCGUGCCACUUACGCCAAAUAUCUAACAUGUUUGAUAAUUUCUGCCUCGCGUGCCAAAAUCUUUCCGUGUGCGGCGGACGAAAGCUAUCUGCUUACGGAUUGUCGUAACAGCGCAUGCGUGGUAUACGAAAGUAAACAUCCAAGAUGGCGGCGCAAAAUGAAUUGCUGGCCGAGGCAAUUUUAGAGGACAAACUUGUCGAACUUUGGCCUGAAUACAAAUGUUUAUACGAUGUGAGUUCUGCAGAUUUUAGAAAUAGGGACAAAAGGGAAUGUGCGGUGAAAGAAAUAGC